GAGGAAGGAAGCGUUUGGUGUCGGUAAAGGCCGAGCUGUACAGACCCGCGGGGCUAAGGUGCAGCAGGAGAAGGGCAAGAAGGCCAUGGCAGAGAUUCGGAAGGGGGGACUGAAGAAGCAGCGGAGGUAGCAGACCGCGGGCAGUGAUCAGGAACCUGGAGGGCGCCUUGUCACGACAUUUUAGCGUCAUGUUCAUUUUACCGUCUUUUAUAAUCGUCUUUUAUAGUCUGCCGUACGCACGUGCACGUGCGAACAAAACACGUGUUUUGUUCGGUGCUACAGUCGUAUGACACGACAGCCUGCAGUUUCAAGUGAUUCUUAAUGUUGACUAAAGAAGGGCCUAUAGUCCUCGUGGUACCGAUUGAGAGAUGUGAGCAGGUUGUAGUAGGCCAUUGGGCAAUGCUUUGUGUAGGAUAAUAUGAACCCGCUAUGAAGCUGGUAAUCGCUGUUUAAUGCGUAAGAGUUUGGUCGGUUAACGUCCUGAUAAUAUCUAUGUUAUUGCCCCAUUACCGGGGACAUUCUUGUAACUGGCCGCCUGAUAAAGGACCUGGUAAACACCCGAUAAUGCUGCCUGAUUACCGGGUAACUUGUAACUGGCCGCCCGAUAAACGACCCUGGUAAACCACCCUGGUAAUGGAGCCUGAUUACGGGUAACUGGC
rnacentral:lncRNA from 1 species